rnacentral:rRNA from 1 species
AUUGAACGCUGGCGGCAUGCCUUACACAUGCAAGUCGAACGGUAACAGGUCUUCGGAUGCUGACGAGUGGCGAACGGGUGAGUAAUACAUCGGAACGUGCCUAGUAGUGGGGGAUAACUACUCGAAAGAGUGGCUAAUACCGCAUGAGAUCUACGGAUGAAAGCAGGGGAUCGCAAGACCUUGUGCUACUAGAGCGGCCGAUGGCAGAUUAGGUAGUUGGUGGGAUAAAAGCUUACCAAGCCGACGAUCUGUAGCUGGUCUGAGAGGACGAUCAGCCACACUGGGACUGAGACACGGCCCCGACUCCUGCGGGAGGCAGCAGUGGGGAAUUUUGGACAAUGGGCGCAAGCCUGAUCCAGCAAUGCCGCGUGCAGGAUGAAGGCCUUCGGGUUGUAAACUGCUUUUGUACGGAGCGAAAAGGCUUCCACUAAUACUGGGGGCUCAUGACGGUACCGUAAGAAUAAGCACCGGCUAACUACGUGCCAGCCGCCGCAGUAACAC